rnacentral:rRNA from 1 species
UUUGACCUCGGAUCAGGUAGGGAUACCCGCUGAACUUAAGCAUAUCAAUAAGCGGAGGAAAAGAAACCAACAGGGAUUGCCCUAGUAACGGCGAGUGAAGCGGCAACAGCUCAAAUUUGAAAUCUGGCUCUUUUAGAGUCCGAGUUGUAAUUUGCAGAGGGCGCUUUGGCUUUGGCAGCGGUCCAAGUUCCUUGGAACAGGACGUCACAGAGGGUGAGAAUCCCGUACGUGGUCGCUGGCUAUUGCCGUGUAAAGCCCCUUCGACGAGUCGAGUUGUUUGGGAAUGCAGCUCUAAAUGGGAGGUACAUUUCUUCUAAAGCUAAAUAUUGGCCAGAGACCGAUAGCGCACAAGUAGAGUGAUCGAAAGAUGAAAAGCACUUUGGAAAGAGAGUCAAACAGCACGUGAAAUUGUUGAAAGGGAAGCGCUUGCAGCCAGACUUGCUUACAGUUGCUCAUCCG